ACGAUUUUUGUCAAACUACGUCAUACCGGAAGUGAAAGAUACAGCAACACUUGUAAAAAUGUUACCAGUGAAAACGCAUCUUGACCAGUUUCCAGAGUUAGAUAAAGAUGGAUAUGAUAGCAUCGUUAAGGAGAACGAAGAAAAGGAUUCACAAGAAAUGAAACAUUUGGCAAAUUGCCCCAGGACUGGAAAGGCUAAAGGAGUAAAAUGAAGUACACAAGAAAUUAGAAUUCAGACAUGUGCUGCAGCUAGAAACAGAUAUGGGAAUAUUUUGCAUAUAAAAUCCAAAGAAUGAAUCAAUGGGGAUAGGACAUAUCUUAUUUACUAGAAAGUGUUUCCUGACAUGCCUGAGGAACUUGAAGGCUGUUUGUUUAAGGGGAAUAUUUUGCAUAUAAAAUCCAAAGAAUGAAUCAAUGGGGAUAGGACAUAUCUUAUUUACUAGAAAGUGUUUCCUGACAUGCCUGAGGAACUUGAAGGCUGUUUGUUUAAGAUAAGAAAACAACUUCAGCAUGCAAGAAAGAAAAAAUAUAGACUGAAAUCAAAUAUUUGACAUUAAUUUAAUUUAUUUUUGUUUCUUAUAUUAUCUUAUUUAUUUGAAAAUUAGAGUUGACUAAAACAUAACUGACAUAUUUGUCAUCUGUGUAUUGAAAUUAUAUAUAAAGUUGCAUUUAAUAUGGUCAGAUAAGGCUUAUGUCAUAAGAUAAGGCAAUCAGGCAUAAAUAGUAUUCAAAAACUAAUAUAAUCACAGAGAGAGCAUUCAUGAUGUUAUAUACCUUAUUCAUAUACGAACAUUAGU